AAGCCCAUAGCCAAGUGGUAAGGCAAGGGACUUUGACUCCCUCACUCGUAGGUUCAAAUCCUGCUGGGCUUGCCA
rnacentral:tRNA from 1 species